AAGUCCAUACUUUUCAGGGAUCAUUUCUAUAGUAUGAGACUAGAGAAGUUUCUCCGAUCGUGUAGCGCGAACCCAAGCCACGAGGAGGAGCCAGAGCGUUCUCUCCUGAGCGUGAGCCGGCUCUAGGUGUCGCUUCUGCGACUACCUUUUGCCAUUGAUGAUUAUUCUCCCUUUCCUUUGAGAAGGGUAGAGGGAAUGGAUGCAGUCUGAGU